CCCGCGCACCCUUGACGACCUCGACACCUACGUCGAGAAGCUGGGCAGGCCAGCUGGUGCUGUGCUCAUCGAGUGGGACCGCCUGGCGCUCGUCCGCAAUAUUGAGCUGGGCCACGUGGAGGGCGCCAUAUUACUGGACUACGACCAGCCCAGGACCAGUCGUCCCAGAACCGCGACCAGCAGAGGUAA
rnacentral:lncRNA from 1 species